ACCCUGACUGCUCCCUAAUCCUGGAUGCCAAUGAAGGGUACUCCUCUUCGGAAGCUAUACAAGUUCUCCAGACAUUGCAUGGUGAACAUCUUAAACCUUUCUUGCUACUAAGAUCCUGAAAAUAUAUUUGUGUUUCCCUUUCAAUCUGACAAGUCAUUUCUGGAGACUAUCAAGGGACAGUUUUUCUUCAAAUGAAAUGCAAUGAUUGACUGUAUAGUAAAACCCAGACAUGUAUAAUGCUAAAUGUGUAUGCCAUUAUAUAAGAUGAAUGAUGCAUGUUUCAUAUAUACAGUUUUCUUCUAUGGAUGAUUCUUAUAAUUCAUUGGCAACACAGUUGUACAUUUUUAUGCAGGGUCGUCUGUGUUUGUCUGCAAGACUAAUCGGAUUUCAUUCUGAACUUUUUGGACAUAAGACGAAAUUCUUAUUUCUCUGGGAAGACAUAGAAACCAUUCAGGUGUUCCCACCUACUUUUUCAUCGAUGGUUAGUCCAAUUAUUGUCAUGACUCUACGGCUUGGCAGGGGUCUUGAUGCAAAACAUGGAGCAAAAACUCAUGACGCUGAAGGCAGACUGAAAUUCCAUUUUUCAAUCUUUCGUGUCUUUUAAUGUGGCAUACAGUUUUUAAUGGGAGGAAAAGCUGGACAUCAUGCAUCCGUUUUUGGCAAGUACCGGCUCAAAUAAACGGAUGAUUGCUGCCUGUUGGAAGAAUGUACACAACUCGGAGCUUUGCCCGCUCGUGCAUUCAAACAAGCCUUUGGAAUAUGGCCAUUCCUGUAGGAAAAUCUGGUAGUUGUAGAGAGAUAAAAACCAGUAGAUGAGUUUCAUCUUGA